rnacentral:rRNA from 1 species
GACGAACGCUGGCGGCGUGCUUAACACAUGCAAGUCGAACGGAAAGGCCCUGCUUUUGUGGGGUGCUCGAGUGGCGAACGGGUGAGUAACACGUGAGUAACCUGCCCUUGACUUUGGGAUAACUUCAGGAAACUGGGGCUAAUACCGGAUAGGAGCUCCUGCUGCAUGGUGGGGGUUGGAAAGUUUCGGCGGUUGGGGAUGGACUCGCGGCUUAUCAGCUUGUUGGUGGGGUAGUGGCUUACCAAGGCUUUGACGGGUAGCCGGCCUGAGAGGGUGACCGGCCACAUUGGGACUGGGUUCCGGCCCAGACUCCUCCGGGAGGCAGCGGUGGGAAUUAUUGCACAAUGGGCGGAGGCCUGAUGCAGCACCGCCGCGUGCGGGAUGACGCCCUUCGGGUGGUAAACCGCUUCGCCUGUGACGAAGCGUGAGUGACGGUAAUGGGUAAAGAAGCACCGGCUAACUACGUG